UACGUAGGUGGCAAGCGUUGUCCGAAUUUACUGGGCGUAAAGAGCGCGCAGGCGGUCGUUCAAGUCGCGUGUGAAAGCCCCCGGCUCAACUGGGGAGGGUCACGCGAUACUGAUCGACUCGAAGGCAGGAGAGGGUAGUGGAAUUCCCGGUGUAGUGGUGAAAUGCGUAGAUAUCGGGAGGAACACCAGUGGCGAAGGCGACUACCUGGCCUGUUCUUGACGCUGAGGCGCGAAAGCGUGGGGAGCAAACCGG
rnacentral:rRNA from 1 species